UGCCAGCAGCCGCGGUAAUACGGAGGGUGCAAGCGUUGUUCGGAUUUAUUGGGCGUAAAGCGAGUGUAGGCGGUUUGACAAGUCGGAUGUGAAAUCCCAGGGCCCAACCCUGGAACUGCAUCCGAUACUGUCAGGCUAGAGUCCCGGAGAGGGUGGCGGAAUUCCCGGUGUAGGGGUGAAAUCCGUAGAUAUCGGGAGGAACACCAGUGGCGAAGGCGGCCACCUGGACAGUAACUGACGCUGAGACGCGAAAGCGUGGGGAGCAAACAGGAUUAGAUA
rnacentral:rRNA from 1 species